GUUUGUUCGUAGAGCACCUGUGCUGACAAGGACCAUUUAUCAAAAUUAGUUUGGGAAGCAGCUGCACCUAAGCAUUUUCAUGUAAGCAACAGUCUCCGGAGAUUGGGCAACAAAUGAAGCAGAAGGAAGAGUGGAAACCCAAGAAGAUGACCAGAGCCCACCUUGACUUGCAAUGAUUUAGUCAGCAAGUGCUUGGCAUAUUCUGGAAGGCUGUAGAACAAAAGCAAUUUCGUUUUUACCUGAAGCUCUGAAAAACUGGAAGGAAGAAAUAAAGCCCUUGAUAUCAUUCCUGCAUUUGGUGUCUCCAUCUGAUAUGCUGCACAAGUAUCGGAUUGUAUUUCGCAUGGCUUGGAUAAAACUGAUACUUUCCUGAGGUUUUGCUUCCUCCCAUGGAUUCUGACAUUUGAUAUUAAGCCCCCAUCCUGUGUUCAUGGAGUUCACACAGCCUUCCUGAAAGGGUGAUCCAAGGUGGAGAGGGUGCCGUGGGCGAGGACACACACCAGCCCUGAGAGAAAGCCCA
rnacentral:lncRNA from 1 species